AUUGAACGCUGGCGGCAGGCUUAACACAUGCAAGUCGAGCGGGGGAAGGUAGCUUGCUACCGGACCUAGCGGCGGACGGGUGAGUAAUGCUUAGGAAUCUGCCUAUUAGUGGGGGACAACAUCUCGAAAGGGAUGCUAAUACCGCAUACGUCCUACGGGAGAAAGCAGGGGAUCUUCGGACCUUGCGCUAAUAGAUGAGCCUAAGUCGGAUUAGCUAGUUGGUGGGGUAAAGGCCUACCAAGGCGACGAUCUGUAGCGGGUCUGAGAGGAUGAUCCGCCACACUGGGACUGAGACACGGCCCAGACUCCUACAGGAGGCAGCAGUGGGGAAUAUUGGACAAUGGGGGGAACCCUGAUCCAGCCAUGCCGCGUGUGUGAAGAAGGCCUUAUGGUUGUAAAGCACUUUAAGCGAGGAGGAGGCUACUCUAGUUAAUACCUAGGGAUAGUGGACGUUACUCGCGGAAUAAGCACCGGCUAACUCUGUGCCAGCCGCCGCAGUAA
rnacentral:rRNA from 1 species